UAAUGAGUCAUGGAUAAUGACUUUGAGAAAGACCUCAUGUAACCACAUAUGAAGGGCAGAGUCACUCUUCAGCGCUCCAGGUACCUGUGCCUUUAAAGGAGCUGACAUUCACUUCACCUCCCUGGAAUGCAGUGUCAGAUAACCACUGCUCUGCUGAACAAUAGAUAGAAAGCUGACAGACUUUCCGAGGAGCAAGCUUAGGUUUACAUUAGGCAUUUUCCAUAAGGUCUUUUGGAAAGGUACACCCAGCUCUGAGAAGGAGAGCAAGCAAUAAUAACGGCGCUGAGCAAUGUGGACAGUAAACAGCCUUGGGAGCAGGUGACAGGCUCGGCUAAAGUGCAUUUCUAAUCUUAAAAGCGACUCUAAAAGUCACAUUGUGGAGGAGACCGCUUCACUCUGUCCCUCUUUUGUUCAUGUUAUAAACAAGUUUUUCCUUGAACUGCCAAGUCUGCCUGCUCCCCGGGGAGGCUAAAGUCAAGCAGGGCUCCUCCUGACUCAUGCUUCAUAGACAGCAGCUCAAGAUGUGUAAGUGAAACUCAUUUAACCCUCCCCGGGACGGAAACCAUUGGCUCAGUGGGACUUUCCUUACUAGAAAGUCAGCAGCAUGGCUGGACACACUGCAGCUGCCUCCUGGGUGCCCUUCAGCUCUGGGCAGAACUUCGGGCACGGUCUGAGGUGACUUCACUGAAACCCUGUGGAGAGAUUCAAAGCACCACAGUCAGAGCAGAGCCAGGACGCUGUAUCCAAGCUACUGGACAAAGCAAACUUACUAACGAAGCUGCCUUAGCCCUCCAUACUAAUUAGAGGGAGCCCCAUCCGGAGUCAGUCUCCACGAGGAAAGAAACUCAAGCGCUGGCUCCCAGCUGAUAAGAGGAGAACCUGGUGCCCAGGGACUCCUCCCACCCCACCACAUAAAACAGGGCACUGAGCAUCAAGGAUGCAGUUUCAGCCACAAAACAGUCCUUAUCAGCACCAAGGAGUGUCUUUGUUCUCAUCCUGGCUCUUGACCUGUAUCGCGAAGGUAAAUAUGCUUUUUCCUACCUGUGUCUAUUGCACGGGAUAAGCAAGAAUGAGCAGCUGUGGAAGUCUGAAGACUUUGUUCCCACAAUUACAGCUGAAAUCCUGGACUGAUCUAAAGAUGUUUGCCACCCUUUGUGCAACAUUGGCUUCAAC
rnacentral:lncRNA from 1 species